CUGGUUGGUUAGUCUCGUAUGGCAAUCCGCUUUACCCAAAAAAUAAAAAAAAAUAUCGGCCUUUUUUUCUGUUUCACUGCUCUCCCUACCUCCCGGUCAGAUUUCUAGCUGUUCCAAGUAUUGAAGCAUUACUUAUGCAAGUACUUAGAGAGGGCUGCCCGUUACAAAAGAAGAGCUCAUCACAAUGCUGUGAUGGUAUGUUUGCAAAACUGGAAAAAAUUCUGUGCUAUGGUGGCCUUUAGUACGUGCUCAACAUUUUGAAAAAUGUGAACAGCAGAAACAGUUGCCACUAUGCAGUGUGUUUGGACAACGGAACCAUUCUUGAAUCAGACUGCUUCAGUUUAUAUCGAAGAUGUAUUGCUUGUCGAGUUGUGAUGCCCUGUGACCAACUUUAC